UACAGAGACUGCGAGCGUUAUCCGGAUUCACUGGGCGUAAAGGGUGCGCAGGCGGUCGUGUGUGUGAGGCGCGAAAGCCCGGGGCUUAACCCCGGAAUUGCACCUCAAACUACACGGCUAGAGCAUUGGAGAGGGUAGCGGAAUUCACGGUGUAGCAGUGAAAUGCGUAGAUAUCGUGAGGAACACCAGAGGCGAAGGCGGCUACCUGGACAAUUGCUGACGCUCAGGCACGAAAGCGUGGGGAGCAAAAGGG
rnacentral:rRNA from 1 species